rnacentral:rRNA from 1 species
CGAGCGAACAGAUGAGGAGCUUGCUCCUCUGACGUUAGCGGCGGACGGGUGAGUAACACGUGGAUAACCUACCUAUAAGACUGGGAUAACUUCGGGAAACCGGAGCUAAUACCGGAUAAUAUAUUGAACCGCAUGGUUCAAUAGUGAAAGACGGUUUUGCUGUCACUUAUAGAUGGAUCCGCGCCGCAUUAGCUAGUUGGUAAGGUAACGGCUUACCAAGGCAACGAUGCGUAGCCGACCUGAGAGGGUGAUCGGCCACACUGGAACUGAGACACGGUCCAGACUCCUACGGGAGGCAGCAGUAGGGAAUCUUCCGCAAUGGGCGAAAGCCUGACGGAGCAACGCCGCGUGAGUGAUGAAGGUCUUCGGAUCGUAAAACUCUGUUAUUAGGGAAGAACAAAUGUGUAAGUAACUAUGCACGUCUUGACGGUACCUAAUCAGAAAGCCACGGCUAACUACGUGCCAGCAGCCGCGGUAAUACGUAGGUGGCAAGCGUUAUCCGGAAUUAUUGGGCGUAAAGCGCGCGUAGGCGGUUUUUUAAGUCUGAUGUGAAAGCCCACGGCUCAACCGUGGAGGGUCAUUGGAAACUGGAAAACUUGAGUGCAGAAGAGGAAAGUGGAAUUCCAUGUGUAGCGGUGAAACGCGCAGAGAUAUGGAGGAACACCAGUGGCGAAGGCGACUUUCUGGUCUGUAACUGACGCUGAUGUGCGAAAGCG